rnacentral:rRNA from 1 species
UACGGAGGGGGCUAGCGUUGUUCGGAAUUACUGGGCGUAAAGCGCACGUAGGCGGCUUCGCAAGUCAGAGGUGAAAGCCUGGGGCUCAACCCCAGAAUUGCCUUUGAGACUGCGUCGCUCGAAUCCGGGAGAGGCGGGUGGAAUUCCGAGUGUAGAGGUGAAAUUCGUAGAUAUUCGGAAGAACACCAGUGGCGAAGGCGGCCCGCUGGACCGGCAUUGACGCUGAGGUGCGAAAGCGUGGGGAGCAAAC